rnacentral:tRNA from 1 species
GCGGGGGUGCCCGAGCCAGGUCAAAGGGGACGGGCUCAGAUGUGCGUUUUGCACAUGGGAAUCCCGUUGGCGAAGGCCUGCGUGGGUUCGAAUCCCACCCCCCGCA